rnacentral:rRNA from 1 species
AGAGUUUGAUCCUGGCUCAGGACGAACGCUGGCGGCGUGCUUAACACAUGCAAGUCGAACGAAAAUACCAAGCUUGCUUGGUUGAUUAGUGGCGAACGGGUGAGUAACACGUGAGUAACCUGCCCCUUACUUUCCUGGAUAACUGCUCGAAAGGGUAGCUAAUACGGGAUAUUCUGACCAGCCUGCAUGGGUUGGUUUGGAAAGGUUAUUUUUUUCUGGUAAGGGAUGGGCUCGCGGCCUAUCAGCUUGUUGGUGGGGUGAUGGCCUACCAAGGCUUUGACGGGUAGCCGGCCUGAGAGGGUGACCGGUCACAUUGGGACUGAGAUACGGCCCAGACUCCUACGGGAGGCAGCAGUGGGGAAUAUUGCACAAUGGGCGCAAGCCUGAUGCAGCGACGCCGCGUGAGGGAUGACGGCCUUCGGGUUGUAAACCUCUGUUAGCAGGGAAGAAGAGAGAUUGACGGUACCUGCAGAGAAAGCGCCGGCUAACUACGUGCCAGCAGCCGCGGUAAUACGUAGGGCGCGAGCGUUGUCCGGAAUUAUUGGGCGUAAAGGGCUUGUAGGCGGUUGGUCGCGUCUGCCGUGAAAUCCUCUGGCUUAACUGGGGGCGUGCGGUGGGUACGGGCUGACUUGAGUGCGGUAGGGGAGACUGGAACUCCUGGUGUAGCGGUGGAAUGCGCAGAUAUCAGGAAGAACACCGGUGGCGAAGGCGGGUCUCUGGGCCGUUACUGACGCUGAGGAGCGAAAGCGUGGGGAGCGAACAGGAUUAGAUACCCUGGUAGUCCACGCUGUAAACGUUGGGCACUAGGUGUGGGGGCCACCCGUGGUUUCUGCGCCGUAGCUAACGCUUUAAGUGCCCCGCCUGGGGAGUACGGCCGCAAGGCUAAAACUCAAAGGAAUUGACGGGGGCCC